rnacentral:misc_RNA from 1 species
AAGAAUCGCCCCGUUUUUUGAAAUGGGUUCUAUUCCCAAACCGUGUUUAUAUACCUUUGUUGCUUUGGCGGGCCGCCUUCGGGCGUCGGCUCCGGCUGACUGCGCCCGCCAGAGGACCCAAACUCGUUUGUUUAGUGAUGUCUGAGUACUAUAUAAUAGUUA